rnacentral:rRNA from 1 species
CGAGUGGCGAACGGGUGAGUAACAUAUCGGAACGUACCGGGUAGCGGGGGAUAACUGAUCGAAAGAUCAGCUAAUACCGCAUACGUCUUGAGAGGGAAAGCAGGGGACCUUCGGGCCUUGCGCUAUCCGAGCGGCCGAUAUCUGAUUAGCUGGUUGGCGGGGUAAAGGCCCACCAAGGCGACGAUCAGUAGCGGGUCUGAGAGGAUGGUCCGCCACACUGGGACUGAGACACGGCCCAGACUCCUACGGGAGGCAGCAGCC